rnacentral:rRNA from 1 species
GACGAACCGUGCGAACGUUGUUCGGAAUCACUGGGCUUAAAGGGCGCGUAGGCGGGCACGCAAGUCAGGGGUGAAAUCCUCCGGCUCAACCGGAGAACAGCUUUUGAUACUGCGUGCCUCGAGGGGGGUAGGGGCAUGUGGAACUUCCGGUGGAGCGGUGAAAUGCGUAGAGAUUGGAAAGAACACCGAUGGCGAAGGCACUUUACUGGGCUAUUACUAACACUCAGAGACGAAAGCUAGGGUAGCAAAUGGG